UACAGAGGGUGCAAGCGUUAAUCGGAAUUACUGGGCGUAAAGCGCGCGUAGGCGGCUGUCUAAGACGGGUGUGAAAGCCCCGGGCUCAACCUGGGAACUGCAUUCGAUACUGGACGGCUAGAGUAUGAGAGAGGGAGGUAGAAUUCCACGUGUAGCGGUGAAAUGCGUAGAUAUGUGGAGGAAUACCGGAGGCGAAGGCGGCCUCCUGGCUUAAUACUGACGCUGAGGUGCAAAAGCGUGGGGAGCAAACAGG
rnacentral:rRNA from 1 species